rnacentral:rRNA from 1 species
AUUGAACGCUGGCGGCAUGCCUUACACAUGCAAGUCGAACGGUAACAGGUCUUCGGAUGCUGACGAGUGGCGAACGGGUGAGUAAUACAUCGGAACGUGCCUAGUAGUAGGGGAUAACUACUCGAAGGAGUGGCUAAUACCGCAUGAGAUCUACGGAUGAAAGCAGGGGAUCGCAAGACCUUGUGCUACUAGAGCGGCCGAUGGCAGAUUAGGUAGUUGGUGGGAUAAAAGCUUACCAAGCCGACGAUCUGUAGCUGGUCUGAGAGGACGAUCAGCCACACUGGGACUGAGAAACGGCCCAGACUCCUACGGGAGGCAGCAGUGGGGAAUUUUGGACAAUGGGCGCAAGCCUGAUCCAGCAAUGCCGCGUGCAGGAUGAAGGCCUUCGGGUUGUAAACUGCUUUUGUACGGAACGAAAAGCCCCGGGUUAAUACCCUGGGGUCAUGACGGUACCGUAAGAAUAAGCACCGGCUAGCUACGUGCCAGCCGCCGCGGUAA